rnacentral:lncRNA from 1 species
GCCGCUGCCCUACCGGCCCUCGUCCUUCGGCCUGCUGGGCCCUCCCGCUCCCCAAGAUCCCUGGCCGCUGCCCGCCUUUCCCCCCGCCGUCGCCCCCGCCUCCCCCGCUGUCCUUCUUCCUGACCCCUCCCUGCUGACCUCCGGUGCUGCGAGGCCGCCGGCUGCUGGGGCUGCGCUCCGGUGGCCCGGCUCAGGUAACCAGGCUGGCAGCCCAUCUCCAUGGGCUUUUCUGCAGUAG